rnacentral:rRNA from 1 species
AAGGCCUUCGGGUUGUAAACCUCUUUCAGCAGGGAAGAAGCGAUUGAGUUUCUUUUCGUGACGGUACCUGCAGAAGAAGCACCGGCUAACUACGUGC